rnacentral:rRNA from 1 species
UCUUCUUUGCUGGCGACCGGCGCACGGGUGAGUAACACGUAUCCAACCUGCCCUUUACUCGGGGAUAGCCUUUCGAAAGAAAGAUUAAUACCCGAUAGUAUAAUGAUUCCGCAUGGUUUCAUUAUUAAAGGAUUCCGGUAAAGGAUGGGGAUGCGUUCCAUUAGGUUGUUGGUGAGGUAACGGCUCACCAAGCCUUCGAUGGAUAGGGGUUCUGAGAGGAAGGUCCCCCACAUUGGAACUGAGACACGGUCCAA